GUACCGUCAGCAAAAUGGAUAUAGAUAAAUAUUAUGCUGAGGUUAAAGCUGCAGCGAGCGUACAAAAAGGCAUUCCUUCUGUCUGUGCAUUGUGUAUAAAAGGCAUAGGCAUUGCUGGGGGUGCUUUGGGGGCUAGACCCCUGGCUGUGGGGCUCUUUAGCCCUGGGUCUUUACCACUGGUGGAGAAAAAAAGAGGAAGAGAUUAUUAGUUAGUGUUUAUUUUUACAUCAGGCAACCCCUUUAUUAGAUAGGAAAAAUGGCAGGAUAACAUUGAAUGCAUGUCUGUGCAUCAUGUGCUUGUUUCUGGCUAUGCUUUCAUCUCAGAGAGCAUUAGCAGCAAGUUCUUAUGAGAAGUGGAACAUAACAUAAAAUGGUAGAGGUAUGUCAUGACAUAUUCCCACCUCAUUGUUAGUGUAGGAAUCAUCAGGUUUUCCUUUAGGCCGAAGCCCCAGGUGUUUCUGAAAGGCACUGGUUCUGGGAUCAUUAGGUUGGCAACGAUGGAGUGACCAUCCACUCCAGGGUCACAUGCAGAGUGGGGUUAUGGCAGCAAACAAUGUUCAGG